rnacentral:tRNA from 1 species
AGGGUAGUAUAUCAAUUGGCAGAUUACUCGGUUUGGAACCGAGAGGCUCCCGGUUCAAGUCCGGGUUACCCUA